rnacentral:rRNA from 1 species
GACGAACGCUGGCGGCGUGCUUAACACAUGCAAGUCGAGCGGUAACGCCCUUCGGGGUACACGAGCGGCGAACGGGUUAGUAACACGUUAGUAAUCUGCCCAUCACUUCGGUUUACCUCCGGGAUACCGGUGCUAAUCCUGCAUAUGUCCCCUUCAGGCCUCUCAUGGUGGUGCAAAGUUCCUGCGGUGCUGGCUGGGCUGGCUGCCUAUCAGCUUGUUGGUGGGGUAGUGGCCUACCAGGCCUUCGACGGGUAGCCGACCUGAGAGGGUGACCGGCCACACGAGGACUGAGAGACGGCCCAGAGUCGAAUGGGAGGCAACAGGGGCGAGUAUGAGACAGUGGGAGAGAGCGUGAGCCAGAGACGCCGCGUGAGGGAUGACGGCCUGUGGGUUGUAAACAGCUGUAAGCAGAGACGAAGCGGAAGUGACGGUACCUGAAGAAGAAGCACCGGCUAACUACGUG